rnacentral:rRNA from 1 species
AGAGUUUGAUCAUGGCUCAGAUUGAACGCUGGCGGCAGGCCUAACACAUGCAAGUCGAGCGGUAGCACAGAGAGCUUGCUCUCGGGUGACGAGCGGCGGACGGGUGAGUAAUGUCUGGGAAACUGCCUGAUGGAGGGGGAUAACUACUGGAAACGGUAGCUAAUACCGCAUAACGUCGCAAGACCAAAGUGGGGGACCUUCGGGCCUCAUGCCAUCAGAUGUGCCCAGAUGGGAUUAGCUAGUAGGUGGGGUAACGGCUCACCUAGGCGACGAUCCCUAGCUGGUCUGAGAGGAUGACCAGCCACACUGGAACUGAGACACGGUCCAGACUCCUACGGGAGGCAGCAGUGGGGAAUAUUGCACAAUGGGCGCAAGCCUGAUGCAGCCAUGCCGCGUGUGUGAAGAAGGCCUUCGGGUUGUAAAGCACUUUCAGCGGGGAGGAAGGCGUUAAGGUUAAUAACCUUGGCGAUUGACGUUACCCGCAGAAGAAGCACCGGCUAACUCCGUGCCAGCAGCCGCGGUAAUACGGAGGGUGCAAGCGUUAAUCGGAAUUACUGGGCGUAAAGCGCACGCAGGCGGUCUGUCAAGUCGGAUGUGAAAUCCCCGGGCUUAACCUGGGAACUGCAUUCGAAACUGGCAGGCUAGAGUCUUGUAGAGGGGGGUAGAAUUCCAGGUGUAGCGGUGAAAUGCGUAGAGAUCUGGAGGAAUACCGGUGGCGAAGGCGGCCCCCUGGACAAAGACUGACGCUCAGGUGCGAAAGCGUGGGGAGCAAACAGGAUUAGAUACCCUGGUAGUCCACGCCGUAAACGAUGUCGAUUUGGAGGUUGUGCCCUUGAGGCGUGGCUUCCGGAGCUAACGCGUUAAAUCGACCGCCUGGGGAGUACGGCCGCAAGGUUAAAACUCAAAUGAAUUGACGGGGGCCCGCACAAGCGGUGGAGCAUGUGGUUUAAUUCGAUGCAACGCGAAGAACCUUACCUGGUCUUGACAUCCACAGAACUUUCCAGAGAUGGAUUGGUGCCUUCGGGAACUGUGAGACAGGUGCUGCAUGGCUGUCGUCAGCUCGUGUUGUGAAAUGUUGGGUUAAGUCCCGCAACGAGCGCAACCCUUAUCCUUUGUUGCCAGCGGUUCGGCCGGGAACUCAAAGGAGACUGCCAGUGAUAAACUGGAGGAAGGUGGGGAUGACGUCAAGUCAUCAUGGCCCUUACGACCAGGGCUACACACGUGCUACAAUGGCAUAUACAAAGAGAAGCGACCUCGCGAGAGCAAGCGGACCUCAUAAAGUAUGUCGUAGUCCGGAUUGGAGUCUGCAACUCGACUCCAUGAAGUCGGAAUCGCUAGUAAUCGUAGAUCAGAAUGCUACGGUGAAUACGUUCCCGGGCCUUGUACACACCGCCCGUCACACCAUGGGAGUGGGUUGCAAAAGAAGUAGGUAGCUUAACCUUCGGGAGGGCGCUUACCACUUUGUGAUUCAUGACUGGGGUGAAGUCGUAACAAGGUAACCGUAGGGGAACCUGCGGUUG